rnacentral:snRNA from 1 species
UUAGAUUAUUACUAGAUUUUAAC